AUUAAACGCUGGCGGCAUGCCUAACACAUGCAAGUCGAACGGCAGCACAGCAGAGCUUGCUCUGUGGGUGGCGAGUGGCGGACGGGUGAGUAAUGCAUCGGGACCUACCCAGACGUGGGGGAUAACGUAGGGAAACUUACGCUAAUACCGCAUACGUCCUACGGGAGAAAGCGGGGGACCUUCGGGCCUCGCGCGGUUGGAUGGACCGAUGUUCGAUUAGCUAGUUGGUAGGGUAAUGGCCUACCAAGGCGACGAUCGAUAGCUGGUCUGAGAGGAUGAUCAGCCACACUGGGACUGAGACACGGCCCAG
rnacentral:rRNA from 1 species